rnacentral:rRNA from 1 species
AUGCAAGACUAUUUUGCGGAGAAUCCUACAUAUCCUCCGCACCUCUUCCGGAGAAGGUAUGGAAUGCGCCAGUCCCUCUUUGUGAAACUUGUUCAAGCUUGCGAGACAAAUUGCCGGUAAUUUACUCAAAGAAGGAAUGCCGCGGGCUUAAAGGGAUUUAGUGCA